UAUUUUUGUUUUUUUCGAAAG
rnacentral:piRNA from 1 species